UGCGUAGGCGGAUUGAUAAGUCAGUGGUGAAAACCUUCAGCUUAACUGGAAACUUGCCAUUGAUACUGUUAGUCUUGAGUACGGUCAAGGUAGGCGGAAUGUGUAAUGUAGCGGUGAAAUGCUUAGAUAUUACACAGAACACCGAUUGCGAAGGCAGCUUACUGGGCCAUUACUGACGCUGAGGCACGAAAGCGUGGGGAGCGAACAGGAUUAGAUACCCUGGUAGUCC
rnacentral:rRNA from 1 species